CCUACGGGAGGCUGCAGUGGGGAAUAUUGGGCAAUGGGCGGAACCCUGAUCCAGCAACGCCGCGUGAAGGAAGAAGGAUUUCGGGUUGUAAACCUCUUUCAACAGGGAAGAGCUGAAGACGGUACCUCUUCAAUAAGCCACGGCGAACUACGUGCCAGCCACCGCGGUAAUUCGUAGGUGGCAAGCGUUUUCCGGAUUUACUGGGUGUAAAGGGCGUGCAGACGGGAAGGCAAGUCGGAUGUGAAAUCCCGGGGCUCAACCGCGGGACUGAUUUUGACACUGUUUUGCUUGAGUACCGGAGAGGUCAUCGGAAUUCCUGGUGGAGCGGUGAAAUGCGUAGAUAUAAGGAGGAACACCAGUGGCGAAGGCGGAUGACUGGACGGCAACUGACGGUGAGGCGCGAAAGCGUGGGGAGCAAACAGGAUUAGAUACCCGUGUAGUC
rnacentral:rRNA from 1 species